rnacentral:rRNA from 1 species
UGCCAGCAGCCGCGGUAACACGGGGGGCGCAAACGUUAUUCGGAAUUAUUGGGCGUAAAGGGCGCGCAGGCGGUCUUGUCCGUCAGGUGUGAAAGUCCACGGCUCAACCGUAGAAGUGCAUUUGAAACUGGAAAGCUUGAGUAUCAGAGGGGAUGGUGGAAUUCCCGGUGUAGAGGUGAAACUCGUAGAUAUCGGGAGGAAUACCGGUGGCGAAGGCGACCAUCUGGCUGAAUACUGACGCUGAGGUGCGAAAGCGUGGGGAGCAAACAGGAUUAGAUA